rfam:Ovis aries breed Texel chromosome 1, whole genome shotgun sequence.
UCCCUGGCAGUCUAGUGGUUGAGACUCUGAGCUUCCAAAACAGGGACACAGGUUCAAUUCCUAGUCAGGGAA